rnacentral:lncRNA from 1 species
UAAAUGUAGUCGUCAAAGAAGAAGGUGAAUUAAAUAUAAUCAAUUGGAUUGGUGCCAAUCACCUCACUGCCUUGCUAAUUAGAACCUAAAACGAUUGUUCACUAAUACACUAUUGCAGUGAGUAAUUAAUGGAUGAUGGAAGUAAUUAAUUAGAUUAAUUAAGUGUUGUGAUUAAUUAGAAAGUCUAAAGAAAUCAUAAAAAAAUGAUAUAAGAUCGUUUUGGGCUUAAAGAAACGUUCGGGUUUAAUUGGGCCCGUUCGGCCUAAACCCAUUGGGCUUUUAUUCAAGCAUAAGAUGACUUGAAAUGAUAAAAGCCCAAAAGCCCAAACAACACUAAGGAGGCCGGCCACAUAAAGGGAAAGGGAGAGAGAGGAAGUCAAGUGGUUGACUAGGUUUCUUUGUUCUAUAAAAGGAACUUUAUAGAGAUAUUUUUCAAAAGGGUUUUGUGUGUUGUUUUUCACAAAAGGAAGAAACCAUCUCUCUCUCUCAAAACUCACACAAGGCCGGCCACCAUAAGGGUGAUUUAGCUAAUCAUUUUCUCACCCUUUUGGUUAUUCCUUCAUCCUUCUCACUACACUAGUGGGUGAGGAUCUUUAGAGG